rnacentral:rRNA from 1 species
AUUGAACGCUGGCGGCAGGCCUAACACAUGCAAGUCGAGCGGAUGACGGGAGCUUGCUCCUGGAUUUAGCGGCGGACGGGUGAGUAAUGCCUAGGAAUCUGCCUGGUAGUGGGGGACAACGUUUCGAAAGGAACGCUAAUACCGCAUACGUCCUACGGGAGAAAGCAGGGGACCUUCGGGCCUUGCGCUAUCAGAAGAGCCUAGGUCGGAUUAGCUAGUUGGUGAGGUAAUGGCUCACCAAGGCGACGAUCCGUAACUGGUCUGAGAGGAUGAUCAGUCACACUGGAACUGAGACACGGUCCAGACUCCUACGGGAGGCAGCAGUGGGGAAUAUUGGACAAUGGGCGAAAGCCUGAUCCAGCCAUGCCGCGUGUGUGAAGAAGGUCUUCGGAUUGUAAAGCACUUUAAGUUGGGAGGAAGGGUUGUAGAUUAAUACUCUGCAAUUUUGACGUCGCCGACAGAAUAAGCACCGGCUAACUCUGUGCCAGCCGCCGCCGUAAUAC